rnacentral:rRNA from 1 species
UACAGAGGGUGCGAGCGUUAAUCGGAAUUACUGGGCGUAAAGCGUGCGUAGACGGUAGCGUAAGUCGGGUGUGAAAGCCCCGGGCUCAACCUGGGAAUUGCAUUCGAGACUGCUCUGCUAGGGUGCGGAAGAGGGAAGCGGAAUUUCCGGUGUAGCGGUGAAAUGCGCAGAUAUCGGGAAGAACACCCAUGGCGAAGGCAGCUCUCUGGGACGGUACUGACGCUGAGACGCGAAAGCGUGGGGAGCAAACAGG